AUCCAUGGCCUUCCAAUCAGAGAUCCCCUAAGGAGCUUACGUACCCAUGGUCUUUCAGUCAGAGACCCCCUAGUGAGUUGUCAUAGCCAUACCUCUAAACUCAGAGACCCCCUGGUGAGUCUACAUACCCAUGGCCUUCCAGUGAGAGACCCCCUCGUGAUCCAAGUACCCAUGGUCUUUCAGUCAGAGACCCCCUAGGGAGUUGCUAUACCCAUACCUCUCAACUCAGAGACCCCCUAGAGACCCCCUAGUGAGUCUAGAAGCCCAUACCUCUACAUUGAGAAACCCCCUAGAGAAGUGCUGUAGCCAUACCUCUCAAUUCAGAGACCCCCUAGUGAGCCUAUAUACCCAUGGGAUUCCAAUAAGAGACCCCUAGUGAGCCUACAUAGCCAUUGCUUAUAAGUCAGAGACCCCCUAGUGAGCCUACAUAGCCAUGGCCUAUAAGUCAGAAACCCCCUAGUGAGCCUACAUACCCAUGGCCUUCCAGGCAGAGACCCCCUAGGGAGUUGCCAUAUCCAUACCUCUAAACUCAGAGACCCCCUAGUGAGUCUACAUAGCCAUGGCCUUCCAGUGAGAGACCCCCUAGUGAUCCUAGGUACCCAUGGCCUUGUAAUUAGAGACCCUCUAGUGGGUUGUUGUAACUAUACCUCUCAACUCAGAAACCCACUAGUGAUUCUACGUACCCAUGGCCUUCCAACGAGAGAACCUCUAGCGAACCCACCUAUCCAUGGCCUUCCAGUCAGAGACUCCCUAGUGAUCCUACAUAUCCAUGGCCUUCCACUCAGAGGCCCCCUAGUGAGCCCACGUACCCAUGGCCGUCCAGUCAGAGACCACCUAGAGAGUUGUUAUGCCCAUGGCUUUCCACUGAGAGACCCUCUAGUUAGCCUAGGUAACCAUGACCUUCCAGUAAGAGACCCCCUAGUGAGACUAUAUACCCAUGGCCUUCCACUCAGAGACCCCCUAUUGAGCUUCUGUACCCAUUGCCUUCUAGUCAGAGAUCCUUUACAGAACAUAAAUACCCAUGUCCUUCAACUCAGAGAUCUCCUAGGGAGCUUCUGUACCCAUACCUCUCAAUUCAGAGACCCUCUUGGAAGUAUACAUACUCAUGUCCUUCAACUCGGAAAUCCCCUAGUGAGCCUACCUACCCAUGGACCUCCAGUCAGAGACCCCCUACAUAGCAUAAAUACCCAUAACCUUCAAAUCAGAGACCCUUUAUUGAGCUUCUGUACCCAUACCCCUCAACUCAGAGACACCCUUGAGAGUAUACAUACCCAUGUCCUUCAACUCAGAGACCCCCUAGGGAGCUUCUGUUCCCAUACAUCUCAACUCAGAGACCCUCUUGGAAGUAUACAUACUCAUGUCCUUCAACUUGGAGACCCCCUAGUGAGCCUAAGUACUCAUGGCUUUCAACU
rnacentral:lncRNA from 1 species